rnacentral:rRNA from 1 species
CCUGACUGCUAUCGGAUUGAUACUAAGCCAUGCGAGUCAUUGUAGCAAUACAAGGCAGACGGCUCAGUAACGCGUAGUCAACCUAACCUAUGGACGGGAAUAACCUCGGGAAACUGAGUAUAAUGCCCGAUAGAACAUUAUGCCUGGAAUGGUUUAUGUUCCAAAUGAUUUAUCGCCGUAGGAUGGGACUGCGGCCUAUCAGUUUGUUGGUGAGGUAAUGGCCCACCAAGACUAUUACAGGUACGGGCUCUGAGAGGAGUGGCCCGGAGAUGGGUACUGAGACACGGACCCAGGCCCUAUGGGGCGCAGCAGGCGAGAAAACUUUGCAAUGUGCGAAAGCACGACAAGGUUAAUCCGAGUGGUUUCUGCUAAAGGAACCUUUUGUCAGUCCUAGAAACACUGAUGAAUAAGGGGUGGGCAAGUUCUGGUGUCAGCCGCCGCGGUAAAACCAGCACCUCAAGUGGUCAGGAUGAUUAUUGGGCCUAAAGCAUCCGUAGCCUGCUUUGUCAGUUUUCGGUUAAAUCCAUACGCUCAACGUAUGGGCUGCCGGGAAUACUGCAAAGCUAGGGAGUGGGAGAGGUAGACGGUACUCGGUAGGAAGGGGUAAAAUCCUUUGAUCUAUUGAUGACCACCUGUGGCGAAGGCGGUCUACCAGAACACGUCCGACGGUGAGGGAUGAAAGCUGGGGGAGCAAACCGGAUUAGAUACCCGGGUAGUCCCAGCUGUAAACUAUGCAAACUCAGUGAUGCAUUGGCUUGAUGCCAAUGCAGUGCUGCAGGGGAGCCGUUAAGUUUGCCGCCUGGGAAGUACGUACGCAAGUAUGAAACUUAAAGGAAUUGGCGGGGGAGCACCACAAGGGGUGAAGCCUGCGGUUC